CAGUGUCUUCAUCGUGCAACAUGGUUUUCAUUAUGAGACAUGCUGGGUCCAUGAAUAGUCUUACGGCAGCUGUGCGUGCCUGUGGCUGUUGGCCUGGAAUUACCGGGUCAGGAGUGUGUGCACAUCUAAGGAAUGUGCCGCCAGGUUACACUGCGGGAAGGCGGCCCCAUUCACAUUGCCACCAGCCUGUGUUCGAGUGCCUCGCUCCCUGUUUUCCUGGGAACAGGCAUCACUUCUUCCUCCUCUUUCCAACCGAUCGUUACUUCUAAGAUGUCAGUUACUUUUGAAGUUGAGCUUUUAAAAAGACUUGGCCAUUUAUUUUCUUCUUUCUUGAACCAUAGGAGUUCUUGGUGUGAUUUGCAAAGGCUCUUUAUAAGGUGACUAACCACGAGAGCAUGGCAGAAACGCGCUUUCCGGGGGUUUUCUGUUUGCACUCCCGUUUUUGAGCAAUCUGAACGUGACCCUCCUUUUCAAGCCUUGACAGUGUGUCUUCGGAAUGUUGUGCACUUGGCUCCUCGUUUACACAUCGUGACUUCAUUCUGUAGCCAGAUGGGAGGGGAAUAUAGCAUAUUGUUUGAAUGGUUUGUGUAAGUUACUCAUUGGUUUACCCUCCCAGAUAUAGAACGAGAAAGGCAACUACAGGAAAAAAAAAGGCAGGUAUGAGUUUGUAGAUAAUUUUUGUUUUAUGGUCAUAAGCAUGACUUAACAUAUGCCAUGUUCAUUUCUUCCAAAGAUGCAGUAGCAUUAUAUAUGUUCACUUUCUUAUAUUUUGAGACAUGCACAAAGAUUCAGAUAUAAAAUGGAAACAAUUUCAGUACUAAGAACACAGUGCUUUUGAGGAAAGGAGAGCUAAGAAAGACUCCCUGCAUUGAUGAUUACUGUCUUACAUCCAGUUUUCUUGAACUUGACCUUCCUAUUGCCACAAUGUCAUUUACUUCUGGAGUUUAGAUUCCAGAAUUUAUUACUUUUAAAAAGAAAAUAAAAAUUACAUAGACUA